GACUUCUUCGGAAAGACACUAAGCGGAUUAGUGGCGAACGGGUGAGUAACGCGUGAGUAACCUGCCUUACACAAGGGGAUAGCCUUUGGAAACGAAGAAUAAUACCCUAUAAAACCAUAAAAGCACAUGCUAGAAUGGUCAAAGUGAUAGCGGUGUAAGAUGGACUUGCGUCUGAUUAGCUAGUUGGUGAGAUAAAAGCUCACCAAGGCAACGAUCAGUAGCCGGCUUGAGAGAGUGUACGGCCACAUUGGGACUGAGACACGGCCCAGACUCCUACGGGAGGCAGCAGUGGGGAAUUUUGCACAAUGGGGGAAACCCUGAUGCAGCGACGCCGCGUGAUUUAGAAGGCCUUCGGGUUGUAAAAAUCUUUUGUAUAGGAAGAAAAUGACAGUACUAUACGAAUAAGGUCCGGCUAAUUACGUGCCAGCAGCCGCGGUAAUACGUAAGGACCGAGCGUUGUCCGGAAUCAUUGGGCGUAAAGGGUACGUUGGCGGCUAGAAAAGUUAGAAGUCAAAGGCUAUAGCUCAACUAUAGUAAGCUUCUAAAACUAUUUAGCUUGAGAAAUGGAAGGGAAAGUGGAAUUCCUAGUGUAGCGGUGGAAUGCGCAGAUAUUAGGAAGAAUACCGGUGGCGAAGGCGACUUUCUGGCCAUUAUCUGACGC
rnacentral:rRNA from 2 species